AGAGUUUGACUUCAGAACGAACGCUGGCGGCGUGCCUAACACAUGCUCGAACGUGAUUGAGGGGCUUGCUCCUCAUGAAAGUGGCGCACGGGUGAGUAACGCGUGGAUAAUCUGCCUGAUGCUCUGGGAUAACAUCUCGAAAGGGGUGCUAAUACCGGAUAAGCCCACGGGGUCUUCGGAUCCUGCGGGAAAAGAGGGGGACCUUCGGGCCUCUUGACAUCAGAUGAGUCCGCGUCCCAUUAGCUAGUUGGUGGGGUAAAGGCCUACCAAGGCGACGAUGGGUAGCUGGUCUGAGAGGAUGAUCAGCCACACUGGAACUGAGACACGGUCCAGACUCCUACGGGAGGCAGCAGUGGGGAAUUUUGCGCAAUGGGGGAAACCCUGACGCAGCAACGCCGCGUGAGUGAUGAAGGCCUUCGGGUCGUAAAGCUCUGUCAGAGGGAAAGAAAUGUGGGCAGUUAAUAUCUGUUCCACUUGACGGUACCCUCAGAGGAAGCACCGGCUAACUCCGUGCCAGCAGCCGCGGUAAUACGGAGGGUGCGAGCGUUGUUCGGAAUUAUUGGGCGUAAAGCGCGUGUAGGCGGUUUGCUCAGUCUGAUGUGAAAGCCCUGGGCUCAACCUGGGAAGUGCAUUGGAUACUGGCAGACUUGAGUACGGGAGAGGGUAGUGGAAUUCCCAGUGUAGGAGUGAAAUCCGUAGAUAUUGGGA
rnacentral:rRNA from 1 species